AAUUUUCGACAAUGGGGGCAACCCUGAUCCAGCCAUCCCGCGUGUCUGAUGAAGGCCUUCGGGUUGUUAAGCACUGUUGGCAGAGAAGAAAAUGUACCUCCUAAUACGAGGUACUGCUGCGGGCAUCUGCAGAAUAAGCGCCGGCUAACUACGUGCCCGCAGCCGCGGUAAUACGGAGGGUGCAAGCGUUAAUCGGAAUUACUGGGCGUAAAACGGGUAUAGGCGGUUCGGAAUAAAAGAUGUGAAAUCCCAGGGGGAAUCCUUGGACAUGCAUUAUUACCUGGCGAGCUACGGGAUGUCAGAGGGGGGUAGAAUUCCACGUAUAGCAGUGAAAUGCGUAGUUGUGUUGAGGAAUACCGCUGGCGAAGGCAGCCCCCUGCCAUAAUACUGACGCUCAGACACGAAAACGUGGGGAGCAAAC
rnacentral:rRNA from 1 species